UACGUAGGGGGCGAGCGUUGUCCGGAAUUAUUGGGCGUAAAGAGCUUGUAGGCGGUCUGUCGCGUCUGCUGUGAAAAUCCGGGGCUCAACCCCGGACUUGCAGUGGGUACGGGCAGACUAGAGUGUGGUAGGGGAGACUGGAAUUCCUGGUGUAGCGGUGAAAUGCGCAGAUAUCAGGAGGAACACCGGUGGCGAAGGCGGUGAUCUGGGCCGACACUGACGCUGUAGAGCGAAAGCGUGGGGAGCGAACAGG
rnacentral:rRNA from 1 species